GUCCCUACGGGGCGCAGCAGUGAGGAAUAUUGGUCAAUGGGCGCAAGCCUGAACCAGCCAAGUCGCGUGAGGGAUGACGGUCCUAUGGAUUGUAAACCUCUUUUGUCGGGGAGCAAGGCCCGCCACGUGUGGCGGGAAGGAGAGGACCCGAAGAAAAAGCAUCGGCUAACUCCGGGCCAGCAGCCGCGGGAAUACGGAGGAUGCGAGCGUUAUCCGGAUUUAUUGGGUUUAAAGGGUGCGUAGGCGGAAGGGUAAGUCAGCGGUCAAAUGUCGGGGGUCAACACCGGGC
rnacentral:rRNA from 1 species